CAAGACAAUUAAAAAUCCACAUUUCCUUGUUUAGCAUAAACUUUCUAGAAAGGCUCUUUGUUUUUCUGCCCCAUUUUAUCUAAAACAAAUAGCACAAAUCAGAGGAAAAGAGUCUUUUCUAACAUUUGUUCAAUCUAAAAGCUAAAUCCAGCAUGUAGGAUAUACUUACUUUAUUGCUAUACCAUGAUUGGCUCUCUUCUUCACUCCAGGAGGCUAUUUUUGAUUUGUUGGACAUAUAAGUAAGGAAGAAAGAGUGGGAGCAAUUUCUCAGAGCCCCCAGGAUACUUAUUAAGUUUACUCCAACUUCCCCUUCACCUUCCCCAAAUAAAUUCUUCUUAAUUACUAUAAUUAUUAGUUUUGUUAUAUUUACAGAAUUUGAAAGCUUUUUCCAGUGGUUUUUACUUAGACUGUAACUCUGUUCCCAGUGUCCAGUCUAGGUUUUCUCAUUCGUUUAAAAUAUUUAUCCAGCUACAUUAACUCCCAAAAGCCUGUAAGUCCUAAAGACUACUAAAGCAGCAAUUGUACCUGAAGAUAACCGCAACAAUACCACUGCUCAUCCCUGCUCCCAUGCCAACUUAAAAGCAGAAAGAAUACGGAGUUCCUAGGAAUAUAAGAAACAGCUUGUUGCCCUGGUGCCUAUACAGCUCACUCUUGAACUUCAAGUCAAAGGUAAGAAACAGAAAAAGGGGAAAUAGGCUGGGCAUGGUGGCUCAUACCUGAAAUCCCAGCACUUUGGGAGUUGGGGCGGUGAGGAUCACUUAAGGCCAGGACCUCAAGAUAGAUUUAAUCCAUCCCAUUUUAUAGAUGAAGACUGAAGUUUAGAGAGAUUAAUUCCCUUGUCCGAGGUCACUCAAGGAGGAAAUGGAGAGUUAAAAUUUGAUCUGAAAUUCAGUCUGGCACCAAAACCUGUGCUUUUUCCAACCCUCUCUACAUUUCUUUCAGCACUAUUAUUUUCUUCCAUUUAAUAUUAAUCUGGCAUAAAUGCUCUUAGUGAAAGAUUAUGUUAACCUCACUAAAUGUAGAAAAAACACUCAAAAGGGCCAUUUUCGUCUCAUGGAUGCUCUUGCCUAUCAUUUAAUCAAGGUAAGAAUAUAUUCAAUAGCUUUCAUUUGCUCCUACAAAAGUUGGUACACCAUAGCUACAUGAUCUAGUUAAACCAACUGUGAAUUCUUUAAACCC
rnacentral:lncRNA from 1 species